GCGGACGGCUCAGUAACACGUAGUCAACCUAACUCGUGGACGUGGAUAACCUCGGGAAACUGAGAAUAAACCACGAUAGAUCAUAGUGCCUGGAAUGGCUUAUGGUCCAAACAGUUUACUGCCAUGGGAUGGGACUGCGGCCUAUCAGUUUGUUGGUGAGGUAAUGGCCCACCAAGGCGAUUACAGGUACGGGCUCUGAGAGGAGAAGCCCGGAGAUGGGUACUGAGACACGGACCCAGGCCCUAUGGGGCGCAGCAGGCGAGAAACCUUAGCAAUGUGCGAAAGCACGACUGGGUCAGUCCGAGUGAUUCCUGAUAAAGGAGUCUUUUGCUUGUCCUAAAAGCACAGGUGAAUAAGGGGUGGGCAAGUCUGGUGUCAGCCGCCGCGGUAAUACCAGCACCUCGAGUGGUCAGGACGUUUAUUGGGCCUAAAGCAUCCGUAGCCGGCUUUGCAAGUCUUCGGUUAAAUCCACCUGCUCAACAGAUGGGCCGCUGGAGAUACUACAGAGCUAGGGAGUGGGAGAGGCAGACGGUAUUCAGUGGGUAGGGGUAAAAUCCUCUGAUCCAUUGAGGACCACCAGUGGCGAAGGCGGUCUGCCAGAACACGUUCGACGGUGAGGGAUGAAAGCUGGGGGAGCAAACCGGAUUAGAUACCCGGGUAGUCCCAGCUGUAAACGAUGCAAACUCGGUGAUGCAUUGGCUUAUGGCCA
rnacentral:rRNA from 1 species